AUUGAACGCUGGCGGCAGGCCUAACACAUGCAAGUCGAACGGUAACAGGAAACAGCUUGCUGUUUCGCUGACGAGUGGCGGACGGGUGAGUAAUGUCUGGGAAACUGCCUGAUGGAGGGGGAUAACUACUGGAAACGGUAGCUAAUACCGCAUAACGUCGCAAGACCAAAGAGGGGGACCUUCGGGCCUCUUGCCAUCGGAUGUGCCCAGAUGGGAUUAGCUAGUAGGUGGGGUAACGGCUCACCUAGGCGUCGAUCCCUAGCUGGUCUGAGAGGAUGACCAGCCACACUGGAACUGAGACACGGUCCAGACUCCUACGGGAGGCAGCAGUGGGGAAUAUUGCACAAUGGGCGCAAGCCUGAUGCAGCCAUGCCGCGUGUAUGAAGAAGGCCUUCGGGUUGUAAAGUACUUUCAGCGGGGAGGAAGGGAGUAAAGUUAAUACCUUUACUCAUUGACGUUACCCGCAGAAGAAGCACCGGCUAACUCCGUG
rnacentral:rRNA from 1 species